rnacentral:rRNA from 1 species
GACGAACGCUGGCGGCGUGCUUAACACAUGCAAGUCGUACGGUAAGGCCCUUUCGGGGGUACCCGAGUGGCGAACGGGUGAGUAACACGUGAGUAACCUGCCCACAACUUUGGGAUAACGCUAGGAAACUGGUGCUAAUACUGGAUAUGUGCUCCUGCUGCAUGGUGGGGGUUGGAAAGCUCCGGCGGUUGUGGAUGGACUCGCGGCCUAUCAGCUUGUUGGUGGGGUAGUGGCCUACCAAGGCGGCGACGGGUAGCCGGCCUGAGAGGGUGACCGGCCACAUUGGGACUGAGAUACGGACCAGACUCCUACGGGAGGCAGCAGUGGGGAAUAUUGAAAAAUGGGCGCAAGCCUGAUGCAGCAACGCCGCGUGCGGGAUGACGGCCUUCGGGUUGUAAACCGAUUUCAGCAGGGACGAAGAUUUUUGUGACGGUACCUGCAGAAGAAGCACCGGCUAACUACGUG